GUAGUCUGCAACUCGACUACAUGAAGCUGGAAUCGCUAGUAAUCGCGGAUCAGAAUGCCGCGGUGAAUACGUUCCCGGGUCUUGUACACACCGCCCGUCACACCAUGGGAGUCAGUAACGCCCGAAGCCGGUGACCCAACCUAUUCUGGAGGGAGCCGUCGAAGGCGGGACGGAUGACUGGGGUGAAGUCGUAACAAGGUAUC
rnacentral:rRNA from 1 species